CUAAAUCCGGCAUUAGCGAGGAUGGAAAGAUGAUGAAAACAUGUUUGAAAACAUGUUUGGAGAGUCUCGGUUCGAUUUGAGACGAAUCGGAGGUCAAACGAACGAAAACGGGCGAAAACGGAGCGAAAACGGACGAAGCUGAAAAUUGGCUAAGUCUGGGCUGGAGGUCUCUCUGGGACCGGUCCCAGGUAGAGAGACCGGUCUCUCAGAGACCGGUCCCUCAUGUAGAGACCGGUCCCCGAACCCCGAAAAUGCCCAGUUCGGGCUGUUGCAAAAAGAGACUUGUUGGGGGGUUUUUAUGCAAUUGUUGCAUGGGUUAAGUGUAUAGAGAGGGUUGGAACCUCUCUCUCUCUCUUUCCCUCACCCGUUUAGCCCCAAACGUGCCCCUCUCUCUCUCUAAACGAAAUAGAAGAGAAGAAGAAGAAGAAGAAGGAGAAGAGGAGGAAGAAGAAGAAGAAGAAGAAGAGGAAGAGCUUUCCAUCUUCUUCAUUCCUUCCUUGUGCUUGGAGAGGCUUUAGGAGGUAAGCUUCUUGGAAGCUCUUUAAUGGUGAUUUCUUAGGGUUUGGUUAAUACACUCUAAGAAUGGUUUAGAUGGAAUCCUAGCAUGCUUAUGAGUAGAUUAAUGCAUGAAUCGGAGAUCGAUUUGGGGUAUUUUGCCGUAGUCGCAAACUAGGGCUCAAAAAUGGGAUUUUUGUAAAUAGAUGGGUUUGAUCUCAUUUAACCCUCUGUAAACCUAAUUGGGGGUAUAACGAACGCGUUGGUGCGCUCGGUUCGACAAUCCGACGAGCGUACGCGAAGUUAUUAACGAAACAGUCUGUUUUGGUACAGAUAGCCGCAGCACGCGAGAUAAGCCUCCAAAAAUCAUGAAAGCGGAUCGGGAGCAUCGUGGUGUCGUGGAAUAAACUCCAGAAUAGACGGAUCGCGGAUUGGUGGCCGUUCGGGUGGUCGCGCAAGAGUUCGAGCCGAACCGGGUCACGAGUGCCGCGGGAGGCCGAUUGCAAGUGUCGACGAGCAAUCGGAACGCGAGUUAAGGUGGGUUGUGUUU
rnacentral:lncRNA from 1 species